GAUGAAGAACGUAGUGAAAUGCGAUAAGUAAUGUGAAUUGCAGAAUUCCGUGAAUCAUCGAAUCUUUGAACGCACAUUGCGCCCCCUGGCAUUCCGGGGGGCAUGCCUGUCCGAGCGUCAUUUCUGCCCUCAAGCCCGGCUUGUGUGUUGGGCGUGGUCCCCCCGGUUUAGGGGGGACCUGCCCGAAAGGCAGCGGCGACGUUCCGCCUAGGUCCUCGAGCGUAUGGGGCUUUGUCACCCGCUCGGGAGGGGCCUACGGGCGUUGGCCAUCCACCAUUUAUUUUUUUUACGGUUGACCUCGGAUCAGGUAGGAGUUACCCGCUGAACUUAAGCAUAUCAAUAAGCGGAGGA
rnacentral:misc_RNA from 1 species